AUUGAACGCUGGCGGCAGGCCUAACACAUGCAAGUCGAACGAGUGGCGGACGGGUGAGUAAUGUCUGGGAAACUGCCUGAUGGAGGGGGAUAACUACUGGAAACGGUAGCUAAUACCGCAUACCAUCGGAUGUGCCCAGAUGGGAUUAGCUAGUAGGUGGGGUAAUGGCUCACCUAGGCGACGAUCCCUAGCUGGUCUGAGAGGAUGACCAGCCACACGCGAACUGAGACACGGUCCAGACGCCUACGUGAGGCAGCAGUGGGGAAUAUUGCCCAAUCGGGGAAACCCUGAUGCAGCAACGCCCCGUGCGGGAUGAUGGUCAUCUGGUUGUAAACCGCUUUCAGCCGGUACUUGCAGAAGAAGCACCGGCUAACUACGUGCCAGCAGCCGCGGUAAUAC
rnacentral:rRNA from 1 species